AGAGUUUGAUCAUGGCUCAGAACGUACGCUGGCGGCACGCCUAACACAUGCAAGUCGAACGAAGUAGCAAUACUUAGUGGCAGACGGGUGAGUAACAUGUAGGUAUCUGCCCUUUGGCCUGGAAUAACACGAGGAAACUUGUGCUAAUACCGGAUAAGUCUUUACGGAGAAAGCUUUAUGCACCAUUGGAUGAGCCUGCACUUGAUUAGUUUGUUGGUGGGGUAAUGGCCUACCAAGACUGUGAUCAAUAGCUGAUUUGAGAGGAUGAUCAGCCACAUUGGGACUGAGACACGGCCCAAACUCCUACGGGAGGCAGCAGUGGGGAAUCUUGCACAAUGGAGGAAACUCUGAUGCAGCGAUGCCGCGUGAGUGAAGAAGGCCUUUGGGUUGUAAAGCUCUUUCGUCGGGGAAGAAAAUGACUGUACCCGAAUAAGAAGGUCCGGCUAACUUCGUGCCAGCAGCCGCGGUAAUACGAAGGGACCUAGCGUAGUUCGGAAUUACUGGGCUUAAAGAGUUCGUAGGUGGUUGAAAAAGUUGGUGGUGAAAUCCCAGAGCUUAACUCUGGAACUGCCAUCAAAACUUUUCAGCUAGAGUAUGAUAGAGGAAAGCAGAAUUUCUAGUGUAGAGGUGAAAUUCGUAGAUAUUAGAAAGAAUACCAAUUGCGAAGGCAGCUUUCUGGAUCAUUACUGACACUGAGGAACGAAAGCAUGGGUAGCGAAGAGGAUUAGAUACCCUCGUAGUCCAUGCCGUAAACGAUGUGUGUUAGACGUUGGAAAUUUAUUUUCAGUGUCGCAGCGAAAGCGAUAAACACACCGCCUGGGGAGUACGGCCGCAGGGUUAAAACUCAAUGAAUUGACGGGACCCGCACAAGUAGUGGAGCAUGU
rnacentral:rRNA from 1 species